AGAGUUUGAUCAUGGCUCAGAACGUACGCUGGCGGCACGCCUAAUACAUGCAAGUCGAACGGAGUAGCAAUACUUAGUGGCAGACGGGUGAGUAACAUGUAGGUAUCUUCCCUUUGGUGAGGAAUAACACGAGGAAACUUGUGCUAAUACCUCAUAAGUCUUUACGGAGAAAGCUUUAUGCGCCAAUGGAUGAGCCUGCACUUGAUUAGUUUGUUGGUGGGGUAAUGGCCUACCAAGACAAUGAUCAAUAGCUGAUUUGAGAGGAUGAUCAGCCACAUUGGGACUGAGACACGGCCCAAACUCCUACGGGAGGCAGCAGUAGGGAAUCUUGCACAAUGGGGGAAACCCUGAUGCAGCGAUGCCGCGUGAGUGAAGAAGGCCUUUGGGUUGUAAAGCUCUUUCGUCGGGGAAGAAAAUGACUGUACCCGAAUAAGAAGGUCCGGCUAACUUCGUGCCAGCAGCCGCGGUAAUACGAAGGGACCUAGCGUAGUUCGGAAUUACUGGGCUUAAAGAGUUCGUAGGUGGUUAAAAAAGUUGGUGGUGAAAUCCCAGAGCUUAACUCUGGAACUGCCAUCAAAACUUUUUAGCUAGAGUAUGAUAGAGGAAAGCAGAAUUUCUAGUGUAGAGGUGAAAUUCGUAGAUAUUAGAAAGAAUACCAAUUGCGAAGGCAGCUUUCUGGAUCAUUACUGACACUGAGGAACGAAAGCAUGGGUAGCGAAGAGGAUUAGAUACCCUCGUAGUCCAUGCCGUAAACGAUGUGUGUUAGACGUUGGAAAUUUAUUUUCAGUGUCGCAGCGAAAGCAAUAAACACACCGCCUGGGGAGUACGACCGCAAGGUUAAAACUCAAAUGAAUUGACGGGGACCCGCACAAGUAGUGGAGCAUGUGGUUUAAUUCGAAGAUACGCGCAGAACCUUACCAACACUUGACAUGUUCGUCGCGACUUUAAGAGAUUAAAGUUUUCGGUUCGGCCGGACGAAACACAGGUGCUGCAUGGCUGUCGUCAGCUCGUGUCGUGAGAUGUUGGGUUAAGUCCCGCAACGAGCGCAACCCUCACUUUUAGUUGCCAUCAUUUAGUUGGGCACUCUGAAAGAACUGCCAGUGAUAAGCUGGAGGAAGGUGGGGAUGACGUCAAGUCCUCAUGGCCCUUACGUGUUGGGCUACACACGUGCUACAAUGGCAUUUACAAUAGGAAGCAAGACGGCGACGUUAAGCAAAUCCUAAAAAAAUGCCUCAGUUCGGAUUGUACUCUGCAACUCGAGUACAUGAAGCUGGAAUUACUAGUAAUCGCGGAUCAGCGCGCCGCGGUGAAUACGUUCCCGGGUCUUGUACACACCGCCCGUCACACCAUGGGAGUUGGUUCUACCUUAAGGCAAAGGUUAAAAACUUUGACCACGGUAUAGUCAGCGACUGGGGUGAAGUCGUAACAAGGUAACCGUA
rnacentral:rRNA from 1 species